rnacentral:lncRNA from 1 species
GGGGGCCGGCGAGGGGAGGCCGGGGCUGAGGGGCGAGGACCGAGGAGCGCGCGGAGGAGCGGGGUGAAGUCCCACGCGGGUAUGGGAGAGAAUGAAGUUCUUUGUCUCUAAGGGAUUCAAACCAGAAACGGAGGGACCUCUGGUUCCCAGAGGGAGGAAAAUCCAUGAUGUCUGCUGCCCAGGGAGCUAUUGCCACCGCCUCCUUGGGAUGAAGUAUUGCCAGCUACCAACAGUUCCUUCCCAACGGCCAUCUUCCAGCCUUCUUAAACGACUCCUAGCAUCUUCGGGAGGCUCCUGAAGGACUGAAGCAAAGGAAAUCUCUGAAGGGAUUUAGUCCUUGAAAGGGAGUAGGGAUACUUAGGGUGUUCUGUGUUGAGCGCUUCUUCCUAUCUCUCCAGCUUCAUGUAUGUGUGUCUUUAUGUCCAAGCAAUUGAGCCAACAAGUCCUCAGAAUUCCUUGUGAAAAAAACGUUUUUUUUUUUUGAGACGGAUUCUCACUCUGUCGCCCAGGCUGGAGUGCAAUGGUGAAAUUCAGCUCACUGCAACCUCCGCCUCCGGGGUUCAAGCGAUUCUCCUGCCUCAGCCUCCCGAGUAGCUGGGAUUACAGUCACGCGCCACCACGCCCAGCUAAUUUUGUAUUUUUAGUAGAGACAGGAUUUCUCCUUGGUCAGGCUGGUCUGGAACUCCCGACUUCAGGUGAUCCGCCCGCCUCGGCCUCCCAAAGUGGU